UUAAAGGUGGAUAACUCGAAGAGCGGACGGAGGCGUGUUCGGAGAGCAUUAGUAGGAGACGGGCAGGGUGGUCCUCGGGGCGCUACUGAAAACGUGGUGCAGUGGUACGCAGCAGUUCAUAGUAUAGCCAUGUCCGCGAAAAAAAAUCCGUCAAGACUGAUUUAAAGCUGGGAGUCUCUGAAUCAGAUGCCAGGAUUUCUUUGUGCAGACCUGAGGCAACAAUGGAGACAAACAGUGCUACCUGCUCGACCCCUGCCCCCCCAAGCCCCUGAUCACUGGCCUUUAUAGAGCAGCUUGAAACUUCCAUGUCUCUGAGGAUUUUGUUCAUCUGUGAUUUACCUGAUGCUUGACCAGAAAGAAAAGUCGGUGGGUGUAUGGGUGUCUCCUGUCACAUGAUCGUGGCAGAGUUUGACAAAUCUGAUUAUUUGGCCAUGCUACUUGCUCUGGUUCAUCGCGAUUUUAAUCCACUGCCAUAGCAUCAGAUAGUCCCCAGUCAGGUGGCCUUUCCUCAGAUGCUCUCUAUUUGCCUGAAGUGUUGUAUGACCAGAACUAUGGAAUUAUGUUUUAAGAAACAGAUAAUCAGUUCCCAUGUUAAGGAGAUUCAUGUGGAUAUUCUACACCAAGGCAUAUGAGGAAAGGAAUCCAGCCUUUCCUCCAGUGAAAAUCAUUGACUUGUUUCACCAAAGGAAAAGAAGGAAGAAAUUUUGUUUCAUUAACUUGCAUAAGCAAAGGGUUGGAAACGCUGAAUCAGUCCUCUCUUUUUGUGAAACAAGAUAGCAGAUUGUUGUCCUAGCAAUGACCCUAACUGUACUAGAGGAAAAAAUGUUGACAUUUUGUACUCUUUAAAACCGGUGUAUCUGAAUACAGUGUUUGAGAAGUAUCUCUUUGGUUAUAGUAGGGCAAGCAGCCAUUUCAUUUGUGAUCUUUUAUCUGAUCUGUGUGUUUUUAGACUGGUGGUAGCCAUACUCUGCCUGGGAUUAUUUGUGUUCUGAACAUGAAGCGUCAUAGUGAGAGGUAUCGAAACAUCAGGUUUUGUCACGGACAAAAAUCUUGGAUUGACACAGGGGAUUUGUUAUGGCCCCCUGGCUUUAAAUUUUACUAUCCUUUCUAGAGCAGUCUCAGCUGAAAACUUGCUCCUCAAGGACCAGGUUCAUGUUAUCUUCAGGCAGAAGAGAUAAAAAAAGACACUAAAUAAUAUGUCUGUAUUACUAAAGAUAGGAUCCAUGGCCACUUUUAUAUGUGCCCAUAAUAUACUUCAGUAGAUGCCUCCCCAAAAGACAGUCCUGGUGAAUCAUGAGCUCUUUAGUGAGAGUGAACAUAAUGACACAUUUAUUAAUGGGAGGGUAACAGGUGGACUACCUGGUUUAGCAGCUGGGUUUCCAGUCAUUAUUCAUGCAGGUUGAAGCAAAGAAUAAUGUACCUGAAGAAAGCGGUAGGAGCUGACACCACCUGAAACGGAGCUCUAGUUGAGCAAUCCCUGCUCAUCAGUAUUAUGGCAAAGGCAAUGUCACAGUUUGCAUUAGGAAACGUUAGAAAUCUCCUUUUAGACAUCUCAUACCGUGACUUGAAUUUACCGUGAAACUGUCCUGUACUUCAUGGGAAGCCUGGAAGAUCCCGAGUUCCUCUCCUGCACUUGCAAGUCUGAUGCUAGAGUACAUGCUGUGUAUUAUUUGAUUGCCACAGCUAGCAGGGCAAAGAAAGUAAUUGUGAACAGACAGAGUUCAUUCACAGUCGGUCACGUUAAGGGAUCAGGAUGAUUUGUUAGGGUGUUGUUAGCAGGAAGUAAUGUUUUUCAAUUCAUCAUUCCCAAAGGAUCCUGCCUAAACAAAAGCGUGCUUCCUCAGAUGUAGGAGUAGAUAGGAAAGAUUCUGGAAAAUCUCCAGGGGAGAGAGAAAGUCCAAAUUCCAGCGGUCCCAUGCUUGUUGUUUAAGUACAGUCACAGGGCUUCAUUAAUGCGAACUUUUUUUUGUCAUUCCACUGAAGCUAUAAUCUAAAUAAUAAGAAUUUAUGAGAUGCAGUGGUUUUAAUGCACUGAAAAAGCUUGCUCUGUAUUCUUUAGUAUCUUGGUGCAACUUGAAAUCCACAUUAUGAUGACUUUAGUACAUUAGGCUGCUAGGCUAGCUUUGCCAUCCUUUUUUAAGGUUAUUAUACAACUUUGUUAUGCUUUGACAGGUAUUUCUACUCUUUCUAACUGUAAUCAAACUUGUGUUGUGAAAUCUCAAUGAUGUCCUCCUUGAGUGAAUUGAAAGUACAUCUGGAUACGGAAUUUUUUCUCCCUGUUGAAGUUUUGUCUCACAGAGUAGUUGUGCACUAGGCCAAUAAGGAACAUUUUCAAAAAUGCUUAAAUUAUUUAGGAGCCAAGCCCUGUAGGAAGCCAGUAGGAUUUAAGCUGCUUUGGUUAAUUUAAUUGUCCCACGUGCUCAAUCUCUUCAAGAUAUUCAGACUUGUGCAGAGGAUAUAGGGUGGGUAGGGCCUUUCGCUGACCAGCUGACUCACUUGUCUGAAAUGUAUGCAUGGUGGUUUGUGGCUUGUGCUCCCUAACUGCUUCGAGCCCAAGUCUCCAAGGAGUGUUCCAGCUUUGGUUUUGCAUGGGUUUGUUUCUUGGCCUAAGUUCUCUCACUCCCUGUAAGACUUUUCUUUUUUUUUUUUUUUUUUUUUUUAAACAAUGAUGUUAAUUUGUUAAACUGUUUUAGACUAAUUUACUUGGUUUUUAAAUAAAUGCCAGAGUUGUGUGAAUUCCAUACUUCAGGUUAUUCAUCCAUUGAUCCAUUUCCCCUUAGAGUUUGGAGCUUAAAUGCAGACUUACAGUGACCUUGGUGCCUUUAGAGGUCUCUAAAUUAUCCAUUAUGUGUUAUUCUGGAAUAAUGAAGUUAUCUCUGAAUUUUUAAGACAGAUGGUUUCUCUUUUAUACAGUGGGAAAGUUCUUGUAACCUGUUGCUGAAAGGAAGUGGCAGAAACAUUCUGGGGCCUCAGAAGAACCUGGGAUUCUCAGCCCUGUCUCAGAGGGUCAAAAAUCUAAAGGGAAGGAAAGAGAGAAAAGUGAGAACCGUAAAGAGCUGCUGUUGCCAUAGAGCUGCUAAGGAGGAAAAAAACUGCAGCACGGAUUUCUUCUGCUGUUGAAGUCUCUCCACAGCUGACGGGAGGUAUGACGGACUCACGAGAGAUGCAGCGUAAACCAUCCAGGUCUCUGCAUGACAACACGCAGGGCUGAACGUCGGACAAGUCUUUUCUUGGAAAGCAUUAUAUUAAUUGCCACGGCUGCUAGCCCAAUUUAAAGCCAAGAGAAACUGUGGCACCAUCCUCCUGUUUGUGUCCUGCUCCGCAA